AUCCCCGUCUUCCAAGGGAUGGUGUGUGCAAAAGAAAUAAAGGCCUGAAAAUCCAGAGAGUGCCAAAAUUCUCUCUUUGUCUGUGAGAACUGACAGUGAACUCACCUUGCCUGAGAUGGUUGCACAACAGCGAGGCAUAGGGGAGAUGUCACCAACUUCUCUCCAGAUACUCAUGAUUCAGGGUGCUAGAACUGCCAGGAAGGAUCCAAAUGAGGAUGA